UACAGAGGUCUCAAGCGUUGUUCGGAUUCAUUGGGCGUAAAGGGUGCGUAGGCGGCGCGGUAAGUCGGGUGUGAAAUCUCGGGGCUUAAAUCCGAAACUGCAUUCGAUACUGCCGUGCUUGAGGACUGGAGAGGAGACUGGAAUUUACGGUGUAGCGGUGAAAUGCGUAGAUAUCGUAAGGAAGACCAGUGGCGAAGGCGGGUCUCUGGACAGUUCCUGACGCUGAGGCACGAAGGUCAGGGGAGCAAACGGG
rnacentral:rRNA from 1 species